AUACGGAGGGGGUUAGCGUUGUUCGGAAUUACUGGGCGUAAAGCGCGCGUAGGCGGAUUGAUCAGUCAGAGGUGAAAUCCCAGGGCUCAACCCUGGAACUGCCUUUGAUACUGUCAGUCUUGAGUUCGAGAGAGGUGAGUGGAAUUCCGAGUGUAGAGGUGAAAUUCGUAGAUAUUCGGAGGAACACCAGUGGCGAAGGCGGCUCACUGGCUCGAUACUGACGCUGAGGUGCGAAAGCGAGGGGAGCAAACAGGAUUAGAAACCCCUGUAGUCC
rnacentral:rRNA from 1 species